GAAGCGCAAUCUCGCGAGAUUUCAUUUGGGCAAUGGAUACGGAUAGUACUAAAUUCGGAUAACAAUUGUUUAGGUAAAUCCGAGAUGAGGGCAUGCUGAAAAUGUUGUAGAACGCAUCUGAUCCUGUUCGAUUAAUUGGAAAUGUCAACAAAACCAUCAACAGAUCCCUGUCAAAAAUAUGCAUGCAAAAUACAGACUUGCUUACAAGCUAUGAACUAUCAAGAAGACAAAUGCGAGCUCGUGAUUGAUUCCUUGGUCGAGUGCUGUGAGAAAUAUGGAGCGAGGUCUAACUGUUGCUCGGGGUUCCUGAAAGGCCAAAGAAAAAGGAACAAACCAAUCAAAGACUCUUCCGAAGGCUGUGGGUGACGAACGGCCACAUCUUAUAUGUACACAGUGAUAUUUAAAAUUAUUUACAUGAAUGCAAUGUUUAUCUUGUAACGUGUGUUCAUAUAUUGGUAAAUAAUAAUAUAAAUUAUAAAGA